rnacentral:tmRNA from 1 species
ACACAUGUAGACGCCUUAAGUGAAAGAUUUUCGGACGCGGGUUCGAUUCCCGCCGCCUCCACCA